rnacentral:rRNA from 1 species
AGUGAACGCUGGCGGUAGGCCUAACACAUGCAAGUCGAACGGCAGCACAGUAAGAGCUUGCUCUUACGGGUGGCGAGUGGCGGACGGGUGAGGAAUACAUCGGCAUCUACUUUUUCGUGGGGGAUAACGUAGGGAAACUUACGCUAAUACCGCAUACGACCUACGGGUGAAAGCAGGGGAUCUUCGGACCUUGCGCGAUUGAAUGAGCCGAUGUCGGAUUAGCUAGUUGGCGGGGUAAAGGCCCACCAAGGCGACGAUACGUAGCUGGUCUGAGAGGAUGAUCAGCCACACUGGAACUGAGACACGGUCCAGACUCCUACGGGAGGCAGCAGUGGGGAAUAUUGGACAAUGGGCGCAAGCCUGAUCCAGCCAUACCGCGUGGGUGAAGAAGGCCUUCGGGUUGUAAAGCCCUUUUGUUGGGAAAGAAAAGCAGCAGGUUAAUACCCCGCUGUUCUGACGGUACCCAAAGAAUAAGCACCGGCUAACUUCGUG